UACAGAGGGUGCGAGCGUUAAUCGGAAUUACUGGGCGUAAAGCGCGCGUAGGCGGCCUUGCCAGUCGGGUGUGAAAUCCCCAGGCUUAACCUGGGAACUGCAUUCGAGACUGCAUUGCUAGAGUAUGGGAGAGGGAAGUGGAAUUUCCGGUGUAGCGGUGAAAUGCGUAGAUAUCGGAAGGAACAUCAGUGGCGAAAGCGACUUCCUGGACCAAUACUGACGCUCAUGUGCGAAAGCGUGGGGAGCAAACAGG
rnacentral:rRNA from 1 species